AAAUAAUUAAUUUUAUUUAGAAACUUUUUCUUCUGACAAAAGUUUUCUAUGGUACUUUCCUGGACAUAAAAUUAAUAGUAAUAAUGACUUUUACAUGGCCAGUACAUUUAAAAAAUAGCAGAAAAAGCAAAUAAUAACAUGACCUGGCAAUGGUUAAUAGCAGGGAAAUUGAAGAAAGAGACAGGAGGGUUAAGGCACAAGAUAAUAUCUUACAAACAAGUGCAUACAAAGCCAGAAGUGGAAAGACAGCAAGUGUCGCAUUUGCAAAGAAGCUGAAGAAAUAAUGGACUCUGGUUAGCUGCUGCAAGAAGAUCACACAGAUUGGCUACAAGCAAUGGCAUGAUAAAGUAGCAACAAUGGUGAUCUGAAAGAAAUACCAUUUGCCUGCAAGCAAGAAUUGCAAGAAUCAUCUUUGCACAAAAUUGGAAAUCGGAAGAAAUCCCAACACAAGACAGAAUAAUAUCGAAAAUAAUGGAAUGUGCCGAGAUGGACAAACUCACUAAAGAAAUCCAAGGAAAGGAAGAAUCAGACUACUAUCUGGUUUGGCAAAAGUGGUAUCAAUGGCUGGAGAAAAGGAAAACCAAACAAAAAGAUGAUCCUAAAAGACUUGAACCAAAUCCUGUACCAAAUGAGACACAACAGAGUACAACGAAACCUUAAUAAAAUAAUAUCGUUAUAUAAGGUGA